rnacentral:rRNA from 1 species
AUGCCUUGCCACCUCUUGCUUCAGAUGCGUAGCCUCGACCCCCCCAGAUAUGCCACGGAGACGCCACGCAGCCCCCCUACUCCUCUCGCUCUCUCCCCGUGCUCAUUCCGUCCCCUGGAUCUCUCUCCCUCACGCACCGAGUGGAGUCCGUCGCCGCCGUUCACUGCCACCGCAUUCACCGAGCUCCCCUCGCCCCUCUGUUUUGUCCAACGGGCUCGCCUCCACGCCAUGGAUCACCAAGACGAAGCACACGCUCGCGGGAUGCCUGAAACGUCGCCAUCGAGCUCAUCAUCGUCCUCCACCCCGACGAUCUCCGCCCGUCGAUUCACCGCCCCGAGCGCCUCCCCGAGCCCACGGAGCUUCUCUUCGGCCUCCCUGUGA